GUGUUUAUAUGGACAAAAUACAUUGCCGGGAUGAAACCAUUCGGUGCUUGACGUCAUAUUUUUGUUGCAAUAAAGGCAUUUACGCAUGCCCAAAAGGGAAAAAUUCAUUCUGCCUAACCGGGAUGAAGUGUUUAUAUGGGAAUUUUUCAUCCCGGCUAGGCAGGAUGAAGUGUUUUUAUAUGGGAAUUUUUCAUCUCGCUUAGGCAGGAUCCCGGCAUCUGUUGCCAAAAUCCAGUCUAGGCGGGAUAAGUGGCGGGAUCAUAUAAACACUCUUUA